rnacentral:lncRNA from 1 species
AGUGGGCUGUAAAACUUUGGCUCAAUGCAAUACCAAAUCACCAACUCAGAAUUCCUUGGUUUUGACCCGAGCAUUAUAGUACCUGGCCACCCUUUGAUGGUAAGCAGCCAUUCUGAUAGCGGCAUGCUUCUUGCUUUCUUCAAUCAGAUUGAGGUUGGCUCGGAGCCAUACAGAGUUGGUAUCUUUAUUAUAUUCCUCAAUUCUGAGGGAAGGGAGCCC